UAUCUUCGGAUAUGAGUAGAGCGGCGGACGGGUGAGUAACGCGUAGGAAUCUACCUAGUAGAAGGGGAUAGCCCGGGGAAACCCGGAUUAAUACCGUAUACCUCCUUCGGGAGAAAGAAGGCCUCUCUUUGAAGCUUUCGCUACUAGAUGAGCCUGCGUAAGAUUAGCUUGUUGGUGAGGUAAAGGCUCACCAAGGCGACGAUCUUUAGCUGGUCUGAGAGGACGAUCAGCCACAUUGGGACUGAGACACGGCCCAGACUCCUACGGGAGGCAGCAGUGGGGAAUAUUGGACAAUGGGCGCAAGCCUGAUCCAGCCAUACCGCGUGUGUGAAGAAGGCCUUCGGGUUGUAAAGCACUUUAAGCAGGGAGAAAAAGUUAUAAGUUAAUACCUUAUAACCCUGAUGUUACCUGCAGAAUAAGCACCGGCUAAUUCCGUGCCAGCAGCCGCGGUAAUACGGAAGGUGCAAGCGUUAAUCGGAAUUACUGGGCGUAAAGCGCGCGUA
rnacentral:rRNA from 1 species